rnacentral:rRNA from 1 species
UCGCGAAAACUUUGCAAUACACGAAAGUGUGACAGGGUCAUCCCGAGUGCCGACCGCUGAGGUUGGCUUUUACCCAGUCUAGAAAGCUGGGGGAAUAAGGAGAGGGCAAGUCUGGUGU